rnacentral:rRNA from 1 species
UACCAGCACCCCGAGUGGUCGGGACGUUUAUUGGGCCUAAAGCAUCCGUAGCCGGUCAUGCAAGUCUUCCGUUAAAUCCAGCCGCUCAACGGUUGGGCUGCGGAGGAUACUACGUGGCUAGGAGGCGGGAGAGGCAAGCGGUACUCAGUGGGUAGGGGUAAAAUCCUUUGAUCCAUUGAAGACCACCAGUGGCGAAGGCGGCUUGCCAGAACGCGCUCGACGGUGAGGGAUGAAAGCUGGGGGAGCAAACCGG